GACGAACGCUGGCGGCGUGCCUAAUACAUGCAAGUAGAACGCUGAAGCUUGGUGCUUGCACCGAGCGGAUGAGUUGCGAACGGGUGAGUAACGCGUAGGUAACCUGCCUGGUAGCGGGGGAUAACUAUUGGAAACGAUAGCUAAUACCGCAUAAAAUGGAUUAUCGCAUGAUAAUCCAUUGAAAGGUGCAAAUGCAUCACUACCAGAUGGACCUGCGUUGUAUUAGCUAGUUGGUGGGGUAACGGCUCACCAAGGCGACGAUACAUAGCCGACCUGAGAGGGUGAUCGGCCACACUGGGACUGAGACACGGCCCAGACUCCUACGGGAGGCAGCAGUAGGGAAUCUUCGGCAAUGGACGGGAGUCUGACCGAGCAACGCCGCGUGAGUGAAGAAGGUUUUCGGAUCGUAAAGCUCUGUUG
rnacentral:rRNA from 1 species